rnacentral:lncRNA from 1 species
UGGUAGCAUUGUUUUUAUCGAAGCAACAUUGCCAGCUCUAACUGCUUCAAUUUCAUUUGUUAGGUAAUGCCAGGAAACCACACUCUUCAUGUUUACAUGCGACUCAUGCCAAAGGGCCAAAACGUUCUGAAACUGCUGUUCAAUCCUGUUGGCUGUAUCUAUUGCUUCCUUGUUUGGUGGAGGAACUGUAAAGCAUACAGAUGGAACCAUGGCCUCAUUACCACUUGGGCUAAUGACUUUCCAUUUAGCACGAUGGGAGUUGUUUGCUAACACACACUCAUCAUCCUUGUAAAUUGUUAUCUCAAUUUGUCUAUAGUCACAGAUGGCUUUAAUUGGAAUGGAUGUUUUCAGUAUACAGUCAGGGUUCCUUGGCUUCAGCUGAAUUAUUGCCUUUGCUCUCCCCACAAGGCCUGCUACUGUGCUCUUAUACUGCAAGAGUUGCUCCUUUUCUUCCAUAGACUCCUGGACAAGGUCUUCCAGCCUAUGAAGGCUGCUUGAUCUGUCACAACUGUAUUUUCGGUAUAUGGCAUCUUUCAAAUUCUUUAAAUACUCCAUGGCCUCUUUGGCAUCACUGAAAAACUCAAAAUAUGAAGCAUUUUCUCUCAAAUGUUGUUCAACGCAGUGACAGAGCUGAAGAAUCCAGCUCCACUGUGUCUGCAUUGCAGCUCUGUAGGCCUCAAUGGUUAGCCUGGCUGGGUGAUUUUCAAGAAGCAACUGUUCCGCUAUUUCUUGUACUGAUUUAAUAACUUCUUCUUUUUGAUCAAGUUCUCUCAUUAAUUCUGCAUGGUAUUCCUUUUUUCUUGUUAUAUUGGGGUUUCUUUCACUCCAAUCAUAUGCAACCUCCUCCUCUUCUUUUUCAUUCAGCCAUAUCAGCUCUCUAGUAGCACGAGAGACAAAAUCGUGAAGGGUAUCUAGAUGCCUUUCCUGAUUUCUUGAUGUGUUCAAGAGUUUUGAAUACUGACUUUCCAGUUUGUGCAAUUUUUCCGCAUAACUGAGUUUCAGAGGGGCAGUCAUUUGGAUCUCACUGAUUUUUGCUUCUUUAAGGCUGGAUUCAAAUUCUUCAAUAGCCCUGUGAACAUUUUUGUGAUUUUCUAAAUGGCUUUCAACACUUGGUAAAUCUGAACCCCAUUCCACUCGAUCAAGUUGCACCUGCAUUUCUUCCACCCAGUUCAAUAGGUCCUGGACAAAUUUCAUGUUCACUUCUUCUUCUGUUAAAUUCUGGUCCACAAAAGCUGAUUUCAUAAGAGGUUUUCUGAUUUGCAUAAGUUUGAGUGUUUGCAGAGUUCCACCAU